GGGGCUGAUCGGUUUCGACGGUGGUCGUGCUUCGUGGAGAAGCGGGCCGAGGAUGCAGGCUCAUCUCGUUAACGACUUGCCUGCACAUCUAUAGGUGCCGAUAACAAGCGCACCGACUUCGCACUCGCCGCCUGAGCGAGUCCUGAAGUCCGUCGGCCCGGGGAUGCUCUCGCCCCGGUCGCCGGCGUCGACUAGAGAGCCACUGCUCGUAGCCUCCGUCAUCGGGGCUCCGGGGACUUCUAGAUGACUGGGCCCGUCCGCACCUUGUCUGCGUGAGUGCGGGGGCCGAGAAAAGCACAGCAGACUGCGCCCGGAGAAGUACACGAAAAGCGUCACCGGACCCGGGUUCGAUUCCCGGCAGCUCCACC
rnacentral:tmRNA from 1 species